AUCGAAUCUCAGCUUUGUAAGGAUACCCCCUGAAUUUAAGCAUAUAAUUAAAGGGGAGGAAAGAAACUAACAAGGAUUCCCUCAGUAAGGGCGACUGAAGCGGGAAGAGCUCACCGUGUGAAUCGACAUUCUAUGUCGAGUUGUGGUCUGUAGAAGUAACAUCUGUCGAGAUUCCGAGCUAAGUCUCUUGGAAAAGAGCAGCUGAGAGGGUGACACUCCCGUUCUUGCUUGGAAUCUACGACAAUAGCAUGUGUCUUCAACGAGUCGAGUUGCUUGGGAUCGCAGCUCAAACGCGUGGUAUACUCCAUGUAAAGCUAAAUAUUGGUAGGAAACCGAUAGCGCACAAGUACAGUGAUGUAAAGAUGAGAAGCACUUUGAAAAGAGAGUUAAAGAGUACCUGAAAUUGCUGAAAGGGAAGCGAAUGGAAACAGUGUGUUUCCGUACCAUUCUUCCUUCACGACUUGUCGUGUGGGCGCUGUGGUGCGGAGUCAGUCAGCAUGGGUUUGAGUCGGGACAUAUAGCCGUUGAGGAGGCAUGCUUCUUUUAGCAGAUUACUCUUUGGUGUUGUCUUGGCUUGGAUCGAGGCUAGCAUUUCGUGAUGCUGACGAAAUGUUUCUAUUCACCCCGUCUUGAAACACGGACCAAGGAGUCUAA
rnacentral:rRNA from 1 species